CGGAGGUGCUGAUAGAAACUAAUGUUGGGCCUGAUCAAGUGACAAGAAGCAAAAGCCCAAGACCACAAAGGAAGAGGAAAGCACCAUCUUGGGCACGUGAUUAUGUGGGAAUCACAACAACUUUAGAGUAAUGAAAUAUCUGCUGUAAUCCUUGGCUUCUAGCUAGUUUGUUACCAUCUUUUAUGGAUCAGGGCACAUGCGUCAAUUGAUCCCAUAGGCUAGGACAAUAGAGGACUCUUUAUAUUCCUAGGUUGUAAUAAUGACAGCAGCAGAAAAUUAAUAAACUUAUCCUUUCUCUCUUAUUUUCUGGAGCUGAUACUGCUCGAAGGUAUCUUUUCUCUCUACCCUAGCCUAUCAUUGGUGCUUUCACUGUGGAUGAUGGCCCCCCGCACUGAUAAACCUGACAAAUCUGUCGAUGAGGUCAGUGCCCAGUUUCGAGAAAUGCAAUUGUGUCUUGAGGCGGUCACCAAACAACAAACAGAUUUCCAAAAUUUUCUCACCACACAAUUACCCCUUCUCAUACGUGAACAAAUUUCUUCCCAAUCUGCAGCCCAUUCAUCCUCUCCGGUUCGAACCGACCCGCCACAAUCAACCAUCAAAUUACCCAAAAUAACCCUAUCUUCCUUUGAUGGGAAAGAUCCUCUUGACUGGAUCUUCAAGGUUGAACACUAUUUUGACCUAACGGACACACCACCCCCCCGCCGCCUCAUUCUCAUUCCCUUCUUCCUUCAAGGUCCUGCUCUUAGUUGGUUCAAAUGGCUCCAUUCCAACCAUUUACUCACAACUUGGUCGGAAUUUCUCCACGCCCUUGAGGUACGUUUUGGUCCCUCUUCCUUUGCCAACCAUGAAGCUUCUUUGUAUAAGCUUCAACAAACCGGAUCUAUGCUUGAAUACCAACAACAAUUUGAAUCCCUCUCCAACCGAGUCACCGGUCUCUCACCCACCUCCCUUCUCAACUGUUUUCUUUCGGGCCUCCGAAAGGAUAUCCACCAUGAACUCAGCAUACUCAAACCAUCCUCCCUGACCCAAGCAAUCGAUUUAGCUAAACUGAUUGAAACCAAAAACCUAGCCACAAAAUACCCAGCCUCACGGCCAACCAAACCACCAUUCCCUCCAAACAACCCACAACCCUCUCUGUUAGGACCGCCUCCGACCGUUCCGAUUCGUCGCCUCACGCCGGCGGAACAAAACGAGCGCCGCUCUAAAGGGCUCUGUUUCAACUGUGAUGAGAAGUUUCAUGUUGGACAUCGUUGUACAAAGAAACAAUUUCUGAUUAUGCUCAUGACGACAUUGAUGAAGUGGUGGGCUCUCCGACACGUGAUACUGAGCAUCAGAUGGUGGAAUCAUGUCCCUUGCUGUCACCAGCACCCAUGUCACCGCCGUCCUCUCCGGAUUCAUCCUCUCCGGCCGCCGCCGAGCAUUUUCAACUGUCUCAAGCAGCACUGGUGGGACCUCCAUCACCACGCACUCUUCGCGUUCAAGGACGUGUCGGUGAACUUGAAGUUACAGUCCUGAUUGAUUCGGGCAGCUCGCACAACAUUAUGCAGCCCAGAGUAGCGGAAUUCCUCGAUUUGCCUAUGGUAGCUAUCAAGCCAUUCUCAGUUGUGGUGGGUAACGGCGAUUCGAUCACUUGUAGCGGAUUCUGUGCUGAUGUGCCAGUGAACCUCGCUAAGCAAAUGUUUCACAUACCUUUCUUCAUCAUACCAAUUCAUGGCGCAGAUUUGGUUUUGGGGGUGCAGUGGCUGCAAACUCUUGGCUCCUUUCUGUCCGAUUACACCAUUCCAUCCAUCCAGUUCACUUAUAACAACACCCCUAUCACCCUCACCGGUAACACUUCCACUCAACCAUCCUUGGCCACAUUCUCCCAGUACUGCCGCUUUGUGUUUACUGAUGCCAUUUCCUCCGCCCACACCAUAUCUUUUUCCCAAAUUGACUCACCUCCCAUUAAAAUUCCCCCACAUCCAGAAAUUGCUCCCAUCCUCACUAAAUUUGCAUCAGUUUUCUCUAGUCCUCAAGGCUUACCCCCCAACAGACCACUCAACCACCAUAUACACCUCCUACCCCAAGCCAAACCAGUCAACGUUCGACCAUAUCGGUACCCUCAAUUCCAAAAGGAAAUCAUGACUUCGAUGAUUCGAGAUAUGCUGGCAGAAGGGGUUAUACGCCCUAGCACUAGCCCUUUUUCAUCACCGGUUUUGUUGGUACGCAAAAAGGAUGGAACAUGGCGUUUUUGUGUUGAUUACCGCGCCCUUAACAACAUCACGGUGAAAGAUCGUUUUCCUAUUCCCACCAUUGACGAGCUCUUGGAUGAACUCUAUGGAGCCAAGAUUUUCUCCAAGCUUGAUUUACGUUCCGGAUAUCACCAGAUUAGAGUGGCACCGGAGGACUGUUUCAAGACUGCUUUCCGCACUGUUGAUGGGCAUUUUGAGUUCCUAGUGAUGCCAUUUGGGUUAUCCAAUGCACCUUCAACAUUCCAGGCGACGAUGAAUGAGGUUUUUCGCGCAUUUUUGCGAAAAUUCGUGCUAGUAUUUUUUGACGACAUCUUGAUCUACAGUCCAUCAUGGGACACUCAUAUUCAGCACCUACAGCAGGUUUUAGAGCUAUUAGACCAGCAUCAAUUGUUUGCGAAGCUUUCCAAGUGCGAGUUUGCUGUGCCUACUGUUGCAUAUUUAGGCCAUAUUAUCUCUCAGGAGGGAGUAGCUGCUGACCCAGAGAAGCUAAAGGUGGUUCAGUCUUGGCCCCCUCCUCACAACCUCACUGCCCUUCGCGGAUUUUUGGGUUUAACCGGGUUCUAUCGUCGCUUCGUCCGCCAUUAUGCCUCGAUAGCUGAACCAUUAACUUCCUUGCUCAAAACUAAUGCUUUCUGCUGGAAUGAGCGUGCGCUAGAAGCUUUUCAAGCUCUUAAGACGGCUAUGACUACCUUGCCGGUUUUGGGAAUUCCGAACUUUGAUCAAACAUUUGAGGUUACUACCGACGCGUCAAAUUCUGCUGUUGGAGCAGUUUUAUCUCAGCAAUCCCAUCCCAUUGCUUUUUUCAGUCGCAAGUUAUGUCCCAAAAUGCGGGCUGCAUCUGCUUAUGAGAGGGAAAUGUUUGCUGUUACGGCUACAGUCAAAAAGUGGCGACAUUAUCUCUUGGGAAGGCAUUUUUUCAUUUAUACGGAUCAUCGCAGUUUAAAGGAAUUGAUAACGCAGACGAUUCAGACGCCGGCACAACAUAGGUGGUUAACUAAGCUAUUGGGUUUUGACUAUGAGAUUGUAUACACCCCGGGAAAGACCAACUUGGUCGCAGAUGCUCUAUCUCGUGUAGAUGUGCCGUCCUUGACUUACAUUCAGGCAGUUUCUGAAGCUCAACCUUUGAUGUUAGAGCAACUCCGGAUUUUUUAUGCUUCUGAUCCGGUUGGUCAACAGCUCACUCGCAAGUUUACAUCUCUGAAGCCAGAUUCACCUUUUAAGCUUCAUCAGGGUCUGUGGUUCUACAAAGGGCGUUUGUUCAUCCCAAGCGAAACUCAAUUCAGAACGCAACUCUUGCAGGAGUUUCACACCAGCCCAGUGGGAGGUCAUUCCGGUGUGAAGGGGACCUUAGCUCGUUUAACCGCUGCCUUCUCAUGGCCCAACAUGGCGAAAGAUGUGAAAAGAUGGGUGCAGGAGUGUUCCAUAUGCCAACAACAAAAGUACUCCACCCAUCGACCUUAUGGCUUGUUGAAUCCGCUGCCUAUCCCUUCUCAAGUUUGGGAGGAUAUUGCCAUGGACUUCAUUACUAAGCUUCCUCCUUCACAUGGGAAGUCUACUAUCUGGGUGGUAAUAGACCGGUUGACUAACUAUGCUCACUUUAUUGCUCUCCCCGCUCACUAUUCAGCAGUUUCCUUAGCUCCGGUGUUCAUGUCUGAGAUCUAUCGACUCCAUGGAAUGCCCAAGACUAUUGUGAGCGACCGAGACCGGGUUUUUGUCAGCCGUUUUUGGCAGGAAUUGUUCAAGCUCAAUGGAACUACACUAUGUUUCUCUAGUGCGUAUCAUCCACAGUCCGAUGGACAAACAGAAGUGACCAACAGAAUUUUACAAACUUUCCUUCGCUGUUUUGUGAGUGAUACUCCCAAACUGUGGGUUUCCAUGCUUCCUUUGGCUGAACAUUGGUAUAAUUCCUCCUAUCAAUCUGCUAUCAAGAUGACACCAUUUGAGGCUCUUUAUGGAAGACCACCUCCCAACAUGCGCUCCUAUGUCUCAGGGUCCACUGCGGUUGCCACACUAGAUGAAACACUAGCCCAACGCCAUCAGAUGUUAGCUGUGAUCAAACUUAACCUGCAAAAGGCCCAGUCCCGAAUGCGAUCACACGCCAACAAUGGCAGGAUGGACAAAGAAUUCGAAGUAGGCACUUGGGUAUGGCUGCGUUUGCAACCUUAUAGGCAGAAUAGUGUGCGUGGUGCCCGCUACUCCAAGUUCACCAAACGUUUCUUUGGUCCUUAUCAAAUUGUCAAACGUAUUGGUACUGUUGCUUAUGAACUCUUGCUGCCUCCAGAAGCCCGUAUUCACCCCGUUUUCCAUGUUUCAAAACUCAAGCAGUUUUUUGGGCAGCCACCGUCGCAAGUACCUCUGUUGGAUGACGCUGUUACAGGGACCUUGGUUCCAUUACAACCAACACAAAUUCUGGACACUCGCAAAUUGCAGACAGUUAAGGGCACGAUCAGGCAGGUUCUAGUGCGUUGGGAAGGCCUCUCACCAGCUGAGGACACUUGGGAAAACUGGAAGGAAUUGCUGAAAUCUUAUCCUCACUGCAACCUUGAGGACAAGGUCGAAUUUGAUGGGGAAGGCAGUGAUACGGAGGUGCUGAUAGAAACUAAUGUUGGGCCUGAUCAAGUGACAAGAAGCAAAAGCCCAAGACCACAAAGGAAGAGGAGCACCAUCUUGGGCACGUGAUUAUGUGGGAAUCACAACAACUUUAGAGUAAUGAAAUAUCUGCUGUAAUCCUUGGCUUAUAGCUAGUUUGUUACCAUCUUUUAUGGAUCAGGGCACAUGCGUCAAUUGAUCCCAUAGGCUAGGACAAUAGAGGACUCUUUAUAUUCCUAGGUUGUAAUAAUGACAGCAACAGAAAAUUAAUAAACUUAUCCUUUCUCUCUUAUUUUCUGGAGCUGAUACUGCUCGAAGGUAUCUUUUCUCUCUACC
rnacentral:lncRNA from 1 species